AGCACAAUAUUUUGGCUCCAAAGUCUCUAUUAUGCAAGCGUCAUAAAUUAAAUGGAUAGAAAUAAACUCCUUCUUAUUGCUAUUGCUCAAAAGGAUCGGAUUACUCAGCAGCUCGACGGUGGCAGUGUGCAGUCUUUUCGUGUGUGGGUCGGCCGAAAAAUCCCUUUUUGUCUUACCUGAUGGCUAUAAACUCAGAUAUCAUGCUUUAAAAGUAGUUAAAAGGAAAA